AGUCGUAACAAGGUUUCCGUAGGUGAACCUGCGGAAGGAUCAUUAAAGAGAAAGGGCUUCGGUCCUGACCUCCAACCCUUUGUUUACCUUACCACUGUUGCCCGCGGGUCGGUCGACGCCUUACGGGCCUGCCGCCGGUCGGCCCUUCGCAAUCGCAUUCGAGUUGCCGCCGCCAGGCCCAAGCAUCUAAAAUUCUUUGUAAACCCAGUCUUUCUGAGAGCAAAUUUAAUACUUCAAA
rnacentral:misc_RNA from 1 species